ACGUGGAGCUCUGGCUCUAGGUCUCACAUCAUGUUGGAUUCCUCACAGAGAAAUUCUGUUUCCCAAGCAGCAUCCUUGGGAUAUACAUGUGGAGCCACACCAAAAUGGUUCCACUCCCCUGGUUACCGGCAUGGCUCAGAUAAAUCAGUGAAAGCAGAUAUCCAGAUGUGACAUCAUCAUAACAGAAGGGGAACCACAGGAAAGGCUGAGCUGGUUCACAGCCAUCUUGUUCCUCCAGCAAAAGAUAUCAGGCACAUCAGCCUGGAGCUUCUCCUCUCCCUCACUCAGACAGCAGGUAAGCAGGAGUUCAGGGGGCAUAGUAUAACAUUUUGCAAACAUGUAUACACAGAGACACAUUGACAUGCAUCAAAAGAUACAUACACUAAUAGAUUCGUAGGAGCAUAUGUAUCUAUUUAUGGUGUCAAAGUGUGUCUGUGUGUGUAUGCUA